rnacentral:rRNA from 1 species
AAAAUGACUCUCGGCAACGGAUAUCUCGGCUCUUGCAUCGAUGAAGAACGUAGCGAAAUGCGAUACUUGGUGUGAAUUGCAGAAUCCCGUGAACCAUCGAGUCUUUGAACGCAAGUUGCGCCUGAAGCCAUUAGGCUGAGGGCACG